CAAAAUCUGAUUUUUCCCAUUUCCGAAAAGGGAUCAUCCAUCAUCCUCUCCUUCCUCAUAUACCUUUUAUUCCUCCAUCAUCUUCCUCCGUUUCCCUUUUCCAGAAUUCAGAAUCGGAAACCCGAACUUCGCAGCAGCAGCCCAUGCUUGUCUCUCUCUAAACGCCUCUCCCCUGCAUAUUCUAUCUGACAAAUAAGAACACUCCCUUUUACUUCCAAAAGAAAAAGGGGAGACAAAUACGAGUAUCAUCUCUCCAGACUACGGAAUACUUGCCUUCAAGAGCUAAGCAGUAAGGCACUCUCUUCGAUCCUUCUCAUCAGAUGCCUGAUUUGGCAUUCUCCUCAGAUUACCAAAUCAGGAAGAUACUCGGAUCAGUUCGAGCUCCGAGUGAAAAUUACUGAGCAGCUUCCUUACCUGAUCUUAGAUAAAGCUGGAAGUUGGAUCAGUUCUGUAGAGAUUAUCUGAACCUGGUUCACCUAAAGAGACUACCUACCCGCCAUGGAUAGCAUCGCACAAAACUGGAGAGAGCUGAGCGGUGAAAACAACUGGGAUGGUCUGCUGAACCCAAUCAACUUUAAUCUCCGCCUUUAUCUGAUCCAUUAUGGUGAAAGAGCUGGAGCUUGUGAAAGCGCCUUCAACAAAAAGAAAGCAUCUAAAGCUUAUGGACAUUGCCUUUAUCCACCAAAUCAGUUUUUCACUAAGCUUUGUCUCCAAAACGGCAAUCCAUAUAAGUACACAGUUACCAGCUUUGUUUAUGCUUUGACAGAUAAAGUCUCUGUUUGGAUGGGCAUCGUGGCUGUCACCACCGAUGAAGGAAAACUCGCAUUGGGACGAAGAGAUAUUAUGAUUUCUUGGAGAGGAACCAUGAGUCAAAUUGAAUGGGAUCUAGAUAUUCAGUCGAAUCUAAUCCCAGCUCAGGAUCUGUUUGGAAAGCUCGAUAACACUCGGGUUCAUUCUGGCUUUCAUUCUAUUUACACAUCAAGCAGUCCACUCUCUGUUUUCAGUCAGACCAGCGCUAGAGAUCAGGUUUUAAAUGAGAUUAAGAAACUAGUGAAGAAAUAUAGAGACGAAGAAAUCAGCAUAAGUGUGACAGGCCAUAGUCUAGGGGCUUCACUUGCAACAUUGACAGCUAUAGAUAUAGUUGCCAAUGGAUGUAAUAUUAAGCCGACAGGGGAGGCUUGUAUGGUAACCGCAUUUGCAUUUGCUAGUCCUCGUAUAGGAGAUGCAGGUCUGAAAAAAGUUUUAUCUCGACUCAAUCAUCUUCAUAUAUUACGAAUAAGUAAUAUCCCAGAUGACGUUCCGGAUUAUCCACCUAAAGAAUGGCAGUAUGUAGAUCUGGGAGAAGAGUUGAAGAUUGAUAGUACCAGGUCAAUUUACUUGAAGCCAGAAGUGAAUUCACAUGAGAUAGAGGUUUAUCUCCAUGGAAUUGCAGGGAUGCAAGAAGAUGGGAAAUUUAAGCUGGCAGUUGAUCGAGAUAUUUCACUUGUCAACAAAGCUCAGGAUGCUUUGAAGGAUGAAUAUGGAGUUCCUGUUGCAUGGUGGGCCAACGAUAAGAACAAUAAUAUGGUUCAAAUGGAUAAUGGGUUCUGGAAGCUGGAGGAGUAUAUCCCAGAUCCUCCCAACACUACCAGCAGUCAAUAAUUCUACAGAUUAAUGGCAUGUGGAUGCUUUGUGCUAGUUUAUUUAAUUAAAGAAAAGUUUUGACUUUGAAAAUCACACUUCCAGGCUCUCUCUUCCCCUUCAAAAAUCGGGAUUCUCCAUCUACUCUCUCCGAAACGUUGCAAUCUUUGGCAAUCGACAGUUAGUUAUUCCGUCAAUCACUCGCAAUUCAGUACUUGCUCAGACUCAAGUGUAAAAGGCGUUGAAAACACACUUUCCG